AAAAAGAUAAGCUAAAAAAGCUACUGGGUUCAUACCCCAUUUAUAGAUAUUAUUCUUCUUUUUA
rnacentral:tRNA from 1 species